CGUGCCUAAUACAUGCAAGUCGAACGCAUUGUGGUUGAAAUGAUAUGAAGAACCUGUUCAGAUUUGAUUUUCAACAUUGCAAUGAGUGGCGAACGGGUGAGUAACACGUGGGAAACCUACCUCUUAGCAGGGGAUAACAUUUGGAAACAAAUGCUAAUACCGUAUAAUAAUUAAAACCGCAUGGUUUUAGUUUAAAAGAUGGUCUUGCUAUCACUAAGAGAUGGUCCCGCGGUGUAUUAGUUAGUUGGUGAGGUAAUGGCUCACCAAGACAAUGAUACAUAGCCGAGUUGAGAGACUGACCGGCCACAAUGGGACUGAGACACGGCCCAUACUCCUACGGGAGGCAGCAGUAGGGAAUCUUCCACAAUGGACGAAAGUCUGAUGGAGCAACGCCGCGUGUGUGAUGAAGGGUUUCGGCUCGUAAAACACUGUUGUAAGAGAAGAAUGACAUUGAGAGUAACUGUUCAAUGUGUGACGGUAUCUUACCAGAAAGGAACGGCUAAAUACGUG
rnacentral:rRNA from 1 species